rnacentral:rRNA from 1 species
AGAGAGAGACAUGCGCGCAUAUCAAUAAGCGGAGGAAAAGAAACUAACUAGGAUUCCCUCAGUAACGGCGAGUGAAGCGGGAAGAGCUCAAAUUUGAAAUCUUCAAGGGUUUACCUUGACGAAUUGUAGUUUAAAGAAGUGUUUUCUGUUGGAGUUUUGGUAAAAGUUCUUUGGAAAUAGACAUCAGUAGAGGGUGAGAAUCCCGUAUUUGACCAUUAUUUCCAGCUUUGUGAUACACUUUCAAAGAGUCGGAUUGUUUGGGAAUGCAGUCCAAAAUGGGUGGUAAAUUUCAUCUAAAGCUAGAUACUGGCGAGAGACCGAUAGCGAACAAGUACCGUGAGGGAAAGAUGAAAAGAACUUUGAAAAGAGAGUUAAACAGUACGUGAAAUUGUCAAAAGGGAAGCGUUUGACACCAGUGUUGUUUUCUCGAAAAUCAAUUAAAAAAGGCUGGAUUUUGUGUUGUAUUGACUUUAUCAGCUUUCUGCACUCUUUUCUUGUCUUUUUUAAUGCACUUUUCGUUUAACAAGUCAACAUCAAUCUCUUUUGUUGUAAAAGGGUCAUUGGAAGGUGGCUUUCUUUUCGGAGAAAGUGUUUAUAGCCUUUGGCCUCUGCAAUCGGAGAGAUUGAGGUCUGCAGCGUAGAUCCUUCGGGGUUAGAUACAUUUGUGCUAAGUUAUAGCCUUUCAUAGACAACUUGUUGACUAUGAUCAGUCAUGUAGCUUACUCGCUUAUGCUAUUUUACCUACGCUUAGGAUGUUGACAGCAGUAUAGACUGU